rnacentral:rRNA from 1 species
UACGUAGGGGGCAAGCGUUGUCCGGAAUCAUUGGGCGUAAAGCGCGCGUAGGCGGCCCGGUAAGUCCGCUCUGAAAGUCCAGGGCUCAACCCUGGAAAGCGGGUGGAUACUGCCGGGCUAGAAUCCGGAAGAGGCGAGUGGAAUUCCUGGUGUAGCGGUGAAAUGCGUAGAUAUCAGGAGGAACACCGAUGGCGAAGGCAGCUGUCUGGCCUAACACUGACGCUGAGGUGCGAAAGCGCGGGGAGCGAACGGG